CCCCUCUGUUGAUAGAGUGGCUUUGUGUGUUAGGUGUCCUGUAGGGCCCAGUGGCUCAGCCUCCCCAGUUACCUGAGGUGGACACUCUUGGUGCACCCCCUUGUGGGCUUUG